rnacentral:rRNA from 1 species
UACGUAGGGUGCAGGCGUUAAUCGGAAUUACUGGGCGUAAAGCGUGCGCAGGCGGUUUGCUAAGUCAGGUGUGAAAUCCCCGGGCUUAACCUGGGAACUGCGCUUGUAACUGGCAAGCUAGAGUGUGGCAGAGGGGGGUGGAAUUCCAAGUGUAGCAGUGAAAUGCGUAGAUAUUUGGAGGAACCCCGAUGGCGAAGGCAGCCCCCUGGGCUAACACUGACGCUCAUGCACGAAAGCGUGGGGAGCAAACAGG